rnacentral:lncRNA from 1 species
CUAGCGAGGAGACCCUCUCCUCAAGCCAACCACCACUCAAGCCGAUGGGGCAAUCCUCGACAACGUCGAGUAGUCGGAUCCGAUGACUGACGGCGGCCAAACUACAAUGGAAAAAAUCAAGAUCAAAAGAAAAAAAAUAGGAAAAAUCUAUAGAUUUUUCUUCAAGAAUUUUCAGCAAUAAACCAUAAAAAUCUCAAACAUAAAAUCUCAUGAA